rnacentral:lncRNA from 1 species
CCCAAUACACGAGAGGGGGACUAUAUAAGAAUCAAUGAAGCUGUCACUAUCACGAACCACCCCACGAUCUGGCAUAUUGGGUACAAUCGCAGAUAAAUACGGUAUAAGCACCAAGCCUACACAAUAUCUAUCAUUUACCCAUGGAUCCGAUGGAUAAACGCUAUACGAUCCUAAGUAUGUAUAUAGAUCGUAUCUAACUAAGCUAAGUACAUAACU